UGGGGAAUAUUGCACAAUGGGCGCAAGCCUGAUGCAGCCAUGCCGCGUGUAUGAAGAAGGCCUUCGGGUUGUAAAGUACUUUCAGUCGGGAGGAAGGUGGUAAGGUUAAUAACCUUGGCAAUUGACGUUACCGACAGAAGAAGCACCGGCUAACUCCGUGCCAGCAGCCGCGGUAAUACGGAGGGUGCAAGCGUUAAUCGGAAUUACUGGGCGUAAAGCGCACGCAGGCGGUUGAUUGAGUCAGAUGUGAAAUCCCCGGGCUUAACCCGGGAAUUGCAUCUGAUACUGGUCAGCUAGGGUCUUGUAGAGGGGGGUAGAAUUCCAUGUGUAGCGGUGAAAUGCGUAGGGAUGUGGGGGGAUACCGGUGGCGAAGGCGGCCCCCUGGACAAAGACUGACGCUCAGGUGCGAAAGCGUGGGGAGCAAACAGG
rnacentral:rRNA from 1 species